rnacentral:rRNA from 1 species
AUUGAACGCUGGCGGAAUGCUUUACACAUGCAAGUCGAACGAUGAAGCCUAGCUUGCUAGGUGAAUUAGUGGCGGACGGGUGAGUAAUAUAUCGGAACGUGUCCAUUAAUGGGGGAUAACUAAUCGAAAGGUUAGCUAAUACCGCAUACGCCCUGAGGGGGAAAGCUGGGGAUCUUCGGACCUAGCGUUAAUGGGGCGGCCGAUACCUGAUUAGCUAGUUGGUGGGGUAAAAGCCUACCAAGGCAACGAUCAGUAGCUGGUCUGAGAGGACGACCAGCCACACUGGGACUGGGACACGGCCCAGACUCCUACGGGAGGCAGCAGUGGGGAAUUUUGGACAAUGGGGGCAACCCUGAUCCAGCCAUUCCGCGUGAGUGAAGAAGGCCUUCGGGUUGUAAAGCUCUUUCGCAAGGGAAGAAACGAUAUAGGUUAAUAGCUUAUGUUAAUGACGGUACCUUGACAAGAAGCACCGGCUAACUACGUGCCAGCAGCCGCGGUAAUACGUAGGGUGCAAGCGUUAAUCGGAAUUACUGGGCGUAAAGCGUGCGCAGGCUGUUUUGUAAGUCAGAUGUGAAAUCCCCGAGCUCAACUUGGGAACUGCGUUUGAAACUACAAGACUAGAAUAGGUCAGAGGGGGGUAGAAUUCCAUGUGUAGCAGUGAAAUGCGUAGAGAUGUGGAGGAAUACCAAUGGCGAAGGCAGCCCCCUGGGAUCAUAUUGACGCUCAUGCACGAAAGCGUGGGGAGCAAACAGGAUUAGAUACCCUGGUAGUCCACGCCCUAAACGAUGUCAACUAGUUGUUGGUGGAGUAAAAUCCAUGAGUAACGUAGCUAACGCGUGAAGUUGACCGCCUGGGGAGUACGGUCGCAAGAUU